AUUGAACGCUGGCGGCAUGCUUUACACAUGCAAGUCGAACGGUAACAGGGUGCUUGCACCGCUGACGAGUGGCGAACGGGUGAGUAAUGCGUCGGAACGUGCCGAGUAGUGGGGGAUAACGCAGCGAAAGUUGUGCUAAUACCGCAUACGUACUGAGGUAGAAAGUGGGGGACCUUCGGGCCUCACGCUAUUCGAGCGGCCGACGUCUGAUUAGCUAGUAGGUGAGGUAAAGGCUCACCUAGGCGACGAUCAGUAGCGGGUCUGAGAGGAUGAUCCGCCACACUGGGACUGAGACACGGCCCAGACUCCUACGGGAGGCAGCAGUGGGGAAUUUUGGACAACGGGCGAAAGCCUGAUCCAGCCAUACCGCGUGUCUGAAGAAGGCCUUCGGGUUGUAAAGGACUUUUGUCAGGGAGGAAAUCCCUAGUGCUAAUAACACUGGGGGAUGACAGUACCUGAAGAAUAAGCACCGGCUAACUACGUGCCAGCAGCCGCCGUAA
rnacentral:rRNA from 1 species